AUUGAACGCUGGCGGCAGGCCUAACACAUGCAAGUCGAGCGGAUGAAGGGAGCUUGCUCCUGGAUUCAGCGGCGGACGGGCGAGUAAUGCCUAGGAAUCUGCCUGGUCGUGGGGGAUAACGUCCGGAAACGGGCGCUAAUACCGCAUACGUCCUGAGGGAGAAAGUGGGGGAUCUUCGGACCUCACGCUAUCAGAUGAGCCUAGGUCGGAUUAGCUAGUUGGUGGGGUAAAGGCUUACCAAGGCGACGAUCCGUAGCUGAUCUGAGAGGAUGAUCAGUCACACUGGAACUGAGACACGGUCCAGACUCCUACGGGAGGCAGCAGUAGGGAAUAUUGGACAAUGGGCGAAAGCCUGAUCCAGCAAUGCCGCGUGUGUGAAGAAGGUCUUCGGAUUGUAAAGCACUUUAAGUUGGGAGGAAGGGCAGUAAGUUAAUACCUUCCUGUUUUGACGUUACCAACAGAAUAAGCACCGGCUAACUUCGUG
rnacentral:rRNA from 1 species